GAACGCUGGCGGCGUGCUUAACACAUGCAAGUCGAACGAUGAAGCGGUGCUUGCACCGUGGAUGAGUGGCGAACGGGUGAGUAAUGCGUGAGUGACCUGCCCCCUUCUUCGGGAUAAGCCUUGGAAACGGGGUCUAAUACCGGAUAUUCCCUUCCUUCUGCAUGGUUGGUUGGGGAAAGUUUUUUCGGUGGGGGAUGGGCUCGCGUCCUAUCAGCUUGUUGGUGGGGUGAUGGCCUACCAAGGCGUCGACGGGUAGCCGGCCUGAGAGGGUGACCGGCCACACUGGGACUGAGAUACGGCCCAGACUCCUACGGGAGGCAGCAGUGGGGGAUAUUGCACAAUGGGCGCAAGCCUGAUGCAGCGACGCCGCGUGAGGGAUGACGGCUUCGGUUGUAACCUCUUUACUAUUGAACAAGGCGCCAUAUUGGUGUGUUGAGGGUAGGUGGUGAAGUAAGCGCCGGCUAACUACGUGCCAGCAGCCGCGGUAAUACGUAGGCGCGAGCGUGUC
rnacentral:rRNA from 1 species